AUGAGGCCGGUGUGGCUCUGACAUCUGUCACCCCAUUGAUCUAGGGUUGAUUCUGCUGAUCUGGCUGCCUGGGCGGGCUCCCCUUCCUCCCUCCCCAAAGCUGUGCCCUCUCUGGAGGAGGAGGGCCACCCCGACAGAGGAGGACUGACCGUUUCCUCAGUCAAGCAUAUAUGAGCAGCUGUGCUCCCCUGCUAGCACCUCCAAACAAGCAAUCAGAAAUCCCAAAGGACAAGGAAGUGGGCUGUGUACCAUACAGUGAUUCCACGAGGAACAGAAAUAAU
rnacentral:snRNA from 1 species